CGGCGGACGGGUGAGUAACGCGUGGGUAACCUGCCUCAUACAGGGGGAUAACAGUUGGAAACGGCUGCUAAUACCGCAUAAGCGCACAGUACCGCAUGGUACCGUGUGAAAAACUCCGGUGGUAUGAGAUGGACCCGCGUCUGAUUAGCUAGUUGGUGGGGUAACGGCCUACCAAGGCGACGAUCGGUAGCCGACCUGAGAGGGUGACCGGCCACAUUGGGACUGAGACACGGCCCAA
rnacentral:rRNA from 1 species